rnacentral:rRNA from 1 species
AGAUUGAACGCUGGCGGCAGGCCUAACACAUGCAAGUCGAGCGGCAGCACGGGUACUUGUACCUGGUGGCGAGCGGCGGACGGGUGAGUAAUGCCUAGGAAUCUGCCUGAUAGUGGGGGAUAACGUUCGGAAACGGACGCUAAUACCGCAUACGUCCUACGGGAGAAAGUGGGGGAUCUUCGGACCUCACGCUAUCAGAUGAGCCUAGGUCGGAUUAGCUAGUUGGUAGGGUAAAGGCCUACCAAGGCUACGAUCCGUAACUGGUCUGAGAGGAUGAUCAGUCACACUGGAACUGAGACACGGUCCAGACUCCUACGGGAGGCAGCAGUGGGGAAUAUUGGACAAUGGGCGAAAGCCUGAUCCAGCCAUGCCGCGUGUGUGAAGAAGGUCUUCGGAUUGUAAAGCACUUUAAGUUGGAGAAGGCAUUAACCUAAUACGUUAGUGUUUUAGACGUUACCGACAGAAUAAGCACCGCUAACUCUGUGCCAGCAGCCGCGGUAA